UACGGAGGGUGCAAGCGUUGUCCGGAAUCACUGGGCGUAAAGGGCGCGUAGGCGGCUCAUGAAGGCUGUGGUGAAAGGCCGGGGCUCAACCUCGGAUCGGCCGUGGCGACUCGUGGGCUGGAGCACUGUAGAGGCGGGUGGAAUUCCGGGUGUAGCGGUGGAAUGCGUAGAGAUCCGGAAGAACACCAGUGGCGAAGGCGGCCCGCUGGGCAGUGGCUGACGCUGAGGCGCGACAGCGUGGGGAGCAAACAGG
rnacentral:rRNA from 1 species